GGAAACUGAGCAGGCACUCACUACCUCAUAUUUGGAGACUUGUGAGAUGGAGGAGAUUUGGACACCAAGGGACCCUGAGAAAAUCACAUCACCUUUGAGUCUGUCUCCCUGCCUACCAUAUAGGAAUCACAAAGCUUAUCACACGGACUUGUUGGACUGUCAUGAGGAUGAUUCAACACACUGGUGUUACUUUGAUGUAGAAAGAGAAGGAAUGCAGCUGGCAACUUGGUGACCUAGAUCUGCUCCCAGCAGUGCUGGAUGAGCAGGGAGAUCCACAGAAUUCAAGGCCUUCAGAAGCUGAAUGGGCCACUCAUCAAGGAGGAGCUGUGAAAAGCCUUGAUGGAGCCCAGGAACCCAAGUUCUAGUCCUGGCUCCUCAUUCAUCAGCUCCAUGACCACAGGCAAAUCAUUUAGCCUCUGGAGUUCGAUUUCUUCAUUGGUAAAAUACAUAAGGAGAAGGACUGAUAAUUUAUCUUCAUUUACAGCUCUGAGUUAUCAUUCUUUUAAUAAACAUUUUACCACAUUCCCACCAGAGGUGAAGAAUUUGGCUGUUUCCAAUCUAAAUAUCAGGAUACCCAGAUCAUUACAAAUGAGGAAACACCCUAAUAUGUGGACUGCAGAGCUGAAGGCUACAGAUGGACCCUUGUCCCCUCUGUAUUCUCUGCCCAACCACAGGAGGCCAAGUACUUUGCCAGGUUUUGCCCUGGGUCAUCACUGGUCCACCCCAUUCUUGUAUACAUUCCCUGUUGGCAAAACACUCCUCCUUGUCAAGCUCAGCCUAAGACUCUCACCCCACACCCUCUUCCUAAUCAAGCCAAAGACAGAAUGUGU